rnacentral:rRNA from 1 species
AUGGCCACGGCCUCCGGUAUCUCCCCGACAGCCGCCACUCCCGUACCCUCUCCAGUCCCCUCCCCUCCCCUGCCCUCACCAGAAGAGGAAGAGAAGAGGGUCAGGCGGAUCAGGCGGCCGCCAUGGCGCGACCAGAUCCGCCACGGUUGCCCCGCGCGUUGUCCACGGGCUCGACUCCAGGGACUGGUCUGCGAGGCCCUCAACGACGCGUGCCGCCUCGCCAUCCACCACCCUGCCCUCCUCGGCCCCAUCCGGGAGAAGGUGGUGCCAGGGAUCUUGAAGACGGUGAAGAACCCGCGCAGCGCCGUGCUCAAGACCUUCGUGAUGGCGUGCGCGGACGUCUUGACGGCCUUCGGCAACCUCUCCUUGAGCAGCAGCUGUAGCAGCAGCUUGUCCAAGCCGAUGCAGUUGGAGUUCAUAUAUAUUUCUCCAAAAAUUAUACUCUCACUUUGCGCCACCGGAUUCGAGGGUGGAGCCCGAGCCUCCACUGGAGCAUGGAUCAGCCGUGCAGUGGUGGAGCUCCGCAUGGAUCACGACUUGGUCGUUGUGGGGGCCUGGACCAUCAAGCUCGCGGGCGAGAUGGACGGCCUCGGCAACGGAGGUGCGCGUGAGAUCCUGGGGUUAACCAAUCCACAGGGCGCCAGAUCUUCCCUCGGGGUCGCCUGA